rnacentral:rRNA from 1 species
AUGGUCAUUGAAGAGCGUUGGAGGCAGUGGAAGAGCGGCGAGAGGCAGGAUGGGGUCCAGGACUUCCUUGACGUUCUCAUCACGCUCGCCGAUGGUGACGACAAGCCGUUGCUCAUCAUCGAUGAGGUCAAAGCACAGUGCAAGGACAUAAUAUUAGUGGCCAUAGAUAACCCGUCAAACGCAGUGGAGUGGGCGUUGGCGGAUAUGGUGAACAACCCAGAAUUGCUGGCCAAAGCGGUGGAGGAGAUGGAGCAGGUGGUCGGUCGCGAGCGACUGGUGCAAGAGUCGGACAUCAUGCAGCUCAACUAUCUCAAGGCGUGCAUACGUGAGGCAUUUCGCCUCCACCCAGUUGCUCCCUUCAACGUGCCGCACGUCGCAAUUGCCGACACCAUUGUUGCGGGCUACCGCGUGCCCAAGGGUAGCCACGUCAUCCUCAGCCGGCUGGCCCUGGGCCAGAACCCCACCGUCUGGGAUGAGCCACUCCACUUCAAGCCAGAGCGCCAUAUGGGAGACAACAUUAAUGUGGUGCUUACUAAGAGCGAAUUGCGGUUCAUCUCCUUUAGCACUGGACGGCGGGGAUGCAUCGCGGCAUCACUAGGAACAACUAUGAGUGUCAUGCUCUUCGGCAGGCUCCUGCAUGGCUUCACCUGGACCAAACCGGCUGGGGUGUCGGCCAUCAAUCUCCACGAGUCCAAGAACGACCUCUUCAUAGAGAAACCGCUAGUGCUACAUGUUGAGCCACGUCUUGCAGCGCACCUCUACCCUCUCAUGCACCGUUGA